rnacentral:rRNA from 1 species
CCUACGGGUGGCAGCAGUGGGGAAUAUUGCACAAUGGGCGCAAGCCUGAUGCAGCCAUGCCGCGUGUAUGAAGAAGGCCUUCGGGUUGUAAAGUACUUUCAGCGAGGAGGAAGGCAUUAAGGUUAAUAACCUUAGUGAUUGACGUUUCUCGCAGAAGAAGCACCGGCUAACUCCGUGGCAGCAGCCGCGGUAAUACGGAGGGUGCAAGCGUUAAUCGGAAUUACUGGGCGUAAAGCGCACGCAGGCGGUCUGUCAAGUCGGAUGUGAAAUCCCCGGGCUCAACCUGGGAACUGCAUCCGAAACUGGCAGGCUAGAGUCUUGUAGAGGGGGGUAGAAUUCCAGGUGUAGCGAUGAAAUGCGUAGAGAUCUGGAGGAAUACCGGUGGCGAAGGCGGCCCCCUGGACAAAGACUGACGCUCAGGUGCGAAAGCGUGGGGAGCAAACAGGAUUAGAUACCCCAGUAGUC